CUCUCUCUCUCUCUCUGAGAACCCAGCCCCAAUUUUUUGAUUCUAGCCCCAAUUAUACAAAGAUCUUUGCAAAUCCAGUCCCAAAAACACAAUCUAAGCAAGAUGCGAAGCUCACCAACAUAAAUUUCAACCUAGAUAUCCUUUGAUUUUCGAAAUCCCCAAAUCUUUCGAAAACCUAGAUCAGUUGCUUGGUUGAAGCGGUUGUUCAGAGGCUUAUAUGGUGUUCAACUGGUGGUUCAGAGCACAACGGAUUAGGCCAAGAUGGUGGGAAACAAAUGGGUCUGAACUUUGAUAGAGUGAAGGGGACUAUUCCGGUUCUGCAUGAAUUUCAGCAGUUGGGUUAUAAUAGGUGUAUCAGAAUUUUAGUGAUAUUUACACAGUGGGGAUGUAUCAAUCUAGAGCUUGGACGUGUGUGGCCGUUUUGGCCGUGUGCUUGUGCUGGUCUUCACUACAAGCUGGAGCACAAGCGCAGAAUAUUACCAACCCCGUAGAAGGAACUGCUGCACUGAGUUUGGGAGGUGCGAACUCUUCUACAACAACCGCUACUUGAAGAUUUGGAUGCUGCAAACCUCCAAUUCAAAAAUAUAGCUGCUGUGUGGUUUUUGUUUAGUGAUAAGAAUCAUCAAAUCAUAAGCAGAUUUUUGAUUCUUUGAAUAUUUAUAGUUCCUAUUUGAAGUUAUGUAAUAUUUAAGUAGUUUAGACUUAGAAAUCAGUGACAUAUGAUUUGUGAACUUGUAAAUUGUAAUGUAGAACUGGAACAUUAUUAACUAUAGCAGAAAAGCUGAGAGAAAAACAUCAAGUCUGGAACUCACAUCUCCAUAAGAAAGUGAGGAAUAGACUUGAUGAAGAGGUAUUUAUUCAGAAAAUUGCAGAGAGUUGAGUAUUAAGUAUUUGGUAAAAACUGCCCAGAAAAAAUUGGCUUAAAACAGGCUAGAAUGAAUAAUUGGGCUGAAAAAAAAACCAAUCAGUAUUAGGCCCAUUCAUCUAUUUCGGUUGGGCCCGAACCGAAACUAAACCGACCGAAAAGUCGGUAACCGAAAGCUUCGGUAUUGACUUUUUUUGGCACGGUAGUGGUACUGAGUUUGAGCAU